GAUGAAGAACGUAGCGAAAUGCGAUACUUGGUGUGAAUUGCAGAAUCCCGUGAACCAUCGAGUCUUUGAACGCAAGUUGCGCCCGAAGCCAUUCGGCCGAGGGCACGUCUGCCUGGGUGUCACGCAUCGUUGCCCCCCCAAACUCCGGUUCGGGCGGGGCGGAAGUUGGCCUCCCGUGUGUGCCUGCGCGCGCGGUUAGCCCAAAAGCGAGUCCUCGGCGACGAGCGCCACGACAAUCGGUGGUUUUUUUACCCUCGUUCCUCGUCGUGCGUGUCCCGUCGCCCGAACGCGCUCUUGUGACCCUCACGCGUCGCCUCGGCGGCGCUCCCAACGCGACCCCAGGUCAGGCGGGACUACCCGCUGAGUUUAAGCAUAUCAAUAAGCGGAGGA
rnacentral:misc_RNA from 1 species